rnacentral:rRNA from 1 species
CACGUAGGGGGCGAGCGUUGUCCGGAAUCAUUGGGCGUAAAGAGCUCGUAGGCGGCUCAGUAAGUCAGGUGUGAAACCUCCAGGCUCAACCUGGAGACGCCACCUGAUACUGCCGUGGCUAGAGUCCGGUAGAGGAGCGUAGAAUUCCUGGUGUAGCGGUGAAAUGCGUAGAUAUCGGGAGGAACACCAGUGGCGAAGGCGACUACCUGGCCUGUUCUUGACGCUGAGGCGCGAAAGCUAGGGGAGCAAACGGGG